UACGGAGGGAGCUAGCGUUGUUCGGAAUUACUGGGCGUAAAGCACACGUAGGCGGCUUUGUAAGUUAGAGGUGAAAGCCCGGGGCUCAACUCCGGAACUGCCUUUAAGACUGCAUCGCUUGAAUCCAGGAGAGGUGAGUGGAAUUCCGAGUGUAGAGGUGAAAUUCGUAGAUAUUCGGAAGAACACCAGUGGCGAAGGCGGCUCGCUGGACUGGUAUUGACGCUGAGGUGCGAAAGCGUGGGGAGCAAACAGG
rnacentral:rRNA from 1 species